rnacentral:tRNA from 1 species
GGGCCGUUAGCUCAGUUGGCAGAGCAGCAGACUUUUAAUCUGAUGGUCGUAGGUUCGAUUCCUACACGGCCCACCA